AUUGAACGCUGGCGGCAUGCCUAACACAUGCAAGUCGAGCGGAUGAAGGGAGCUUGCUCCUGGAUUCCGCGUCGGACGGGUGAGUAAUGCCUAUGAAUCUGCCUGGUAUUGGGGUAUAACGUCCGGAAACGGGCGCUAAUACCGCAUACUUCCUGAUGGCGCAAGUUGGGGAUCUUCGGACCUCACGCUAUCAUAUGAGCCUAGGUCGGAUUAGCUAGUUGGUGGGGUAAAGGCCUACCAAGGCGACGAUCCGUAACUGGUCUGAGAGGAUGAUCAGUCACACUGGAACUGAGACACGGUCAAGACUCCUACGGGAGGCAGCAGUGGGGAAUAUUGGACAAUGGGCGAAAGUCUGAUACAGCCAUGCCGAGUGUGUGAAGAAGGUCUUCGGAUUGUAAAGACCUUUAAGUUGGGAGGAAGGGCAGUAAGUUAAUACCUUGCUGUUUUGACGGUACCAACAGAAUAAGCACCGGCUAACUUCGUG
rnacentral:rRNA from 1 species